UACGUAGGGGGCAAGCGUUGUCCGGAAUCAUUGGGCGUAAAGGGCGCGUAGGCGGCCUGCUAAGUCAUACGUGAAAUCCCUCGGCUCAACCGAGGAACUGCGUCUGAUACUGGUUGGCUUGAAUUCGGGAGAGGGAUGCGGAAUUCCAGGUGUAGCGGUGAAAUGCGUAGAUAUCUGGAGGAACACCGGUGGCGAAGGCGGCAUCCUGGACCGAGAUUGACGCUGAUGCGCGAAAGCCAGGGGAGCAAACGGG
rnacentral:rRNA from 1 species